GGGUUUGGGGAGAUCAGCGCCUGGUACCGGCAAGGCUUUUUUUUGCAACUGAUGGAAAAGUUGGGUGAAAGGGUGGGGUGGGGGGGUGCAGGUCUUCCUCAUCUGGAAAAAAAGUGGGUCGCGCUUUUUUUUUGUUUUAGUGGGGGAAGAAAAAGCCAGCGUUUCCUCCUCUCUCCGCAAGUUUCUCUAUAUUUUUUUCCUGGUCCAGUUGGGAAUCUUUACAGCCCCAAAGCCGGGAUCAGCUCGGGAUAAGGCGCCGUGGAAACUUGGCUGUUCCAGCUCCUUCUAGGAGGCGAGAGAAAAGCUCACUCCUAGCGCGCAACAGGUUCCAGGACUGCACUUGGACGUACCUUUUUCUGUUUGAAAACCUCCGCGUGAAUUUGAGAAUUCUGAGUCAGGAGCGUGGUGAGGGAUUUCUCCAUCUCAGUUGAGCUGUUACAAUGGCGUUUCCUUUAGAAAGAAAAUAAUCUUAUUCUUGACAUGAACUCCCACACGGUGACUGACAUCAAACCUGUUCUGCUCUCGGCUGAUUUCCACAAUACAGCUGCGCGGAGAAACACAGAGACAACUUGAUCUUAACCGACGACGGGGAGGGUUAUUUGCAGUAGCCAAGAGCACUGUGUUGGAAGGGACCGCGGAGCCAGCCAAAUAAAACAACAGAAACAACAAAAUCAUUAUGGGCCAGUCCUUGAUAGACAAGGCCACAGAUUCAGUUGGACGUCCCGAUUUCUAUCGGAGAAAUGUUGGAGGGUAUGAAGUUAUGCGACCCUCAAGCCAAGGAGAAAAGUAACUAAGCAACCUAUAGAAGACAUCUGAAGGAAUGUUUAAUUUGGAAUUGGAGAAUUGGUUUUCUUAAUUGUAUUGUGAUUUGGUAUUGUAUUAAUGUGGCAUGCGUUGGAUUAAUAUCAAGGAAAAAUUAAUAUUUAACAAAACAAAAACAGAAGACACCUGACGGCAGCCCUGUAUAGGGAAGUUUUUUUAAAAAAUGUUUAAUGUUUUAUUAUGUUUUUAUAUAUGUUGAAAGCUGCCCAGAGUGGCUGGGGCAACCCAGUCAGAUGAGCGGGGUAGAAAUAAUACAAUUAUUAUUAUGCAAUAGGAUGUCCCUACUUUCAUCAGAGAAAUGUUGGCAGCUGAGUUCUCUUACCUUUUAAAAAUCAAAUAUUUGUGUGUGCAUGGGGCUCUGGAACGGAUAUACCAUAUUUUUCCGUGUAUAAGACGCUCCCA